rnacentral:rRNA from 1 species
CCUACGGGAGGCAGCAGUGGGGAAUUUUGGACAAUGGGCGCAAGCCUGAUCCAGCCAUGCCGCGUGGGUGAAGAAGGCCUUCGGGUUGUAAAGCCCUUUCGGCUGGGACGAAAAGGUUCGGGUUAAUAACCCGGAUCCAUGACGGUACCAGCAGAAGAAGCACCGGCUAACUACGUGCCAGCAGCCGCGGUAAUACGUAGGGUGCAGGCGUUAAUCGGAAUUACUGGGCGUAAAGCGUGCGCAGGCGGUCUGCUAAGAGAGAUGUGAAAUCCCCGGGCUUAACCUGGGAACUGCGUUUCUAACUGGCAGGCUUGAGUGUGGCAGAGGGGGGUGGAAUUCCACGUGUAGUAGUGAAAUGCGUAGAGAUGUGGAGGAACACCGAUGGCGAAGGCAGCCCUCUGGGCUAACACUGACGCUCAUGCACGUAAGCGUGGGGAGCAAACAGGAUUAGAUACCCUGGUAGUCCACGCCCUAAACUAUGUCAACUGGUUGUCGGGGAAGCAAUUCCUUGGUAACGAAGCUAACGCGUGAAGUUGACCGCCUGGGGAGUACGGCCGCAAGGUUAAAACUCAAAGGAAUUGACGG